rnacentral:rRNA from 1 species
UACGGGGGGGGCAAGCGUUGUUCGGAAUUACUGGGCGUAAAGGGCUCGUAGGUGGCCAACUAAGUCAGACGUGAAAUCCCUCGGCUUAACCGGGGAACUGCCAUCCAGACUGCUUUGCUUGAGGCCGGGAGAGGUAAGUGGAAUUCCCAGUGUAGCGGUGAAAUGCGUAGAUAUUGGGAGGAACACCAGUGGCGAAGGCGGCUUACUGGACCGGUUCUGACGCUGAGGCGCGAAAGCGUGGGGAGCAAACGGG